UACGGAGGGUGCAAGCGUUAUCCGGAUUCACUGGGUUUAAAGGGUGCGUAGGUGGGUUUGUAAGUCAGUGGUGAAUCUCCGUGCUUAACAUGGAACUGCCAUUGAUACUAUAGAUCUUGAAUUUUCUGGAGGAUAGCGGAAUAUGUCAUGUAGCGGAUGAAAUGCUUAGAUAUGACAUAGAAACACCAAUUGCGAAGGCAGCUAUCUAACAGGGAUAUUGACACUGAGGCACGAAAGCGUGGGGAUCAAACAGG
rnacentral:rRNA from 1 species